rnacentral:rRNA from 1 species
GCGAUGCAGGCUAGAUGCAGUCGAGCGGAGGGAGAAUCCCUUAGCGGCGAACGGUCGCGUAACACGUAGGCAACCUGCCCGAAAGACCGGGACAACGUUCCGAAAGGGGCGCUAAUACCGGAUGUGGCCACGGAGGCGAUGCUUCUGUGAUUAAAUCCUCGCAAGGGGGCUUUCGGAGGGGCCUGCGGCCUAUCAGCUAGUUGGCGGGGUAACAGCCCACCAAGGCGACGACGGGUAGCUGGUCUGAGAGG